UUUCUGAAUUUCGGAACGUAUUUAAUAAAUUCUGUUUUAUCUAUGGUAUGGAUAUUUACUUUGCAAUAAUUUUCAUGACAUGAGACUACAUUUUGCUGCAAUUACAAGCGAUUUGAUCUGGUUUUGUUAUAAUUUCGUUUCAAUUUUAUGCGAAUAGGUACUGAGUUUAUAAAAGUAACAUAAUAUUGUCUUGUACUUAUAUAAUUAGUUUUUGUGUAUUUCGGAUUCCGUUUACAUCUAGGUACCUACUAUGUCGGGGUCCUACGAGAAAGCUGGCGUAUCAACGCCACGAAUAUUCAGGCGCCCGUAAAUCGUCAAAACGAGUGAAAAGCGCAUUCAGUUGGAUACAUGUGGACGACAAGAUAGUAAACCUGUAAAUUAUAACUCAAGUUGUGGCCAGCUUCAUUGUAAACAAACUUUAGUUUUCAAGUUCAAGGACAAAUGCGUGUCAGUAACAUGGAUAAAUGCUACUUCAUAUGUUUUAUUUCAGUCAAUGAACCUUUGACUGUUAUAGAAGUUUGUCGAGAUAAUAUAAUGACUUUAUCAGCAAUAUGAUGCCAAAGUUAAUACACUUUUUUAAAGAAUGUAUUCUGCCAGAAAUAGUUUUGAGACAUGUUCAAAAAAUGCGAAAUGUAUACCUAGGUAUGAAAGCAGCUGUGUAGCGGUAGUUUCCAGGCAAUAAUGAGGAAGGAUGAGCGAAAACAACACGACAAAUGUUUUUUUAUUGUACUAUUAUAGUAGUGUGUUUAGAAUCUACAUUAUCAAUGUUUACAGUCAUGUUUUUUUUGAUGUCAGAAAACUGAAAUGGUGUACUUACUCGUCGUAAUGAACAUAAUGUUCAUAAUGUGAUAUGAAUACAUUGACCUAUUUUAAGGUUUCUGAAAAACAAAAAGGAAAGUUGUUGCUUUUUUAUUUCCUUAUGUAGUAUAGUGAUUAUGGAUGCUUAGAUAUUCUCAAACAUUUUUCCGCUUUGAUUGCAAUCUAUUAUUCUGGUUGCCUUGUUUAUGAAUUAUAGUUUUGAAUUAUUAUUUUGAAUGAGAUUAUUUUUUAAUAAUCAGUCACGUAUCAAGCAUUCAUGUCACAUAAAUACUUGUAAUAAUUGCAGGUUAGUAUAUACAUUCUAUUAAAUAAUGUAUAAGAUAAUAAAAUAAAACUGUCUUACAUUGCA